rnacentral:rRNA from 1 species
UACGGAGGACGCAAGCGUUAUCCGGAAUGAUUGGGCGUAAAGCGCCCGCAGGUGGCAAUGUAAGUCUGCUGUUAAAGAGUCUAGCUCAACUAGAUAAAAGCAGUGGAAACUACAUAGCUAGAGUACGUUCGGGGCAGAGGGAAUUCCUGGUGUAGCGGUGAAAUGCGUAGAGAUCAGGAAGAACACCAGUGGCGAAGGCGCUCUGCUAGGCCGUAACUGACACUGAGGGACGAAAGCUAGGGGAGCGAAUGGG